UAACAAGUUUGUUUUGUUGUUUGUUGUUGUCCUUUGCUUUAGGUACCAUGGCUGCCACUAAUCUUGAUGCCACGUUUGAUCGCAUCAAUGACGAUAUUGAAGAAAUAAAAUGGCACGUGGAAAGGCUACGCCAAUUGUUGCCUAAACUUAUCCCACAAAAUCCAACUUUCCUUGUCCAAUCACCUUGUGCCGAGAGCUUCCCAAAUGAAGAGGUGGGCUACCCCGACCCACACCAAGGACUCAUCUGAAGGAAAAUCAACAAGGGAUGUGCAGGUGACCAUCAGAGAAGCUUUGGGAUCAAAGAAGGAAGCGUCUCGUAAAGAAUCAGAAGCGGGCUUUCAAGAAUUUCCUGACAACAGUGAUGAAGACGAGGCUGACUUUGAUGCACGAAUGCGUCAGCAGAUACUAAAGAGGAGGAAGGAACUUGGCGAUCCGCCAUCCAAACAGAAGUUGCUCAGUGAGAAUGGAAAUGCAAGAAAUCGUUCACCAUCUCCUACAAGGUACAGGUCUAAUCUUAUUUCUUUGCAUGUUUUCUUUUUCUUUUAUCACAUUGCUAUUUUACAAUACAAAUAGUAGCUAGCCAUCUAGUUUCUUGAGAAUCUGUUUCUGUCCAGCAUUUAUUCUAGAUGCUACUUUUGUUGAACUACAUGAAUAUGCUAGUUCUCCAUUAGCUAUCUUUCUUGUAAGUGAUCACACCCCUUCAGGUGCGGCCCUUCCCUAGACCCUGCUAAUGCGGGAUGCUUCGUGCACCGGGCUGCCCCAGCUAUCUUUCUUGUUAGUGAUCAGCUUAAGUUGGUGUUUAUAUGUGGUCACUCAGACUUGAAUAGACAGAAAUUGUUUAUGUGGUGAGGACACUCUUGGAACUGGAAAAAUAUGAUUUUUUUUUUUAAAAUUUGGUUGAAAAUUUUGGGGAUGACUUAACUGUUGGAAUCGAAAUUUCCACCGUUACUGGUUUUUAGUUUUUUUGCCUUAUAUGUAAUGGUUAACUCUAUUAAUUUGAAUGCACUUAGGAGGUACAACCUAGUACACAAUAAACCCUAAAUCUCUAAAAUUCCACCAUAUUAACCCAUGCAAUUUGGGCUUUCAAGAGCAUAACAGCCCCCCAAAACCCAAAGCUUUCGUCAUAUUAAUUGCUGUCUCACAUUUUAGUUUUUAUUACUUAGAUUAACCAAUUUUUUAUUUUUUUCUAUAUCCUUUCUUCAUUAGGAACACCAUAUGUUGAUAGGCCAACAUUUUCUCUUUGCAAAAGUUCAAAUUCAUGAUACAAUUUUUUUUAAAAUAUUGAAUGGUUUUUGAAAUGAUGAAACUUUGUAUUAUAGAAUCCUAGCUUGAUAUAUACAGAUUAGGAAUUCUCCUUAAGGGUCACUUUUAAAAGUUGCGGAAAGUUUGAGUAAAUUAUAAUUAGUGAAGAAGCUCUCUGGAGGUAAAAGUCUAACCGAAAAGAACAAAAUGAAUGGAAAUUGUGAUUCUAUUUUUGCGAUAAAGUGGUAAGUUAUGUUAAGAUGUUCAGAGAAGUCUUUAGAGAUUGUGAAGCUACGCGUGCUAUCGGUUUACUGUAGCAUUUGCAUUAUCCAGACUAUGAUGUUGCUUCCGUUAUGCUGGUUUUCCUCUUCAUACAUAUUAAGCCAAUUAGCUGACCGAUCUUCAAAAAUGCCUAUAUCUGGUCAUGGUCCGCCCUACCUGUGAUCCCUUUCCUAACUUUAUAAUUAAGCUGUCCUUUUCCAUUAAAAUGGGUCUUUAGGUAUAGAAUUGUGUUAAUUUAGUCUAUUAGUCAUAUAGGAUUGUGUUUUUGAGAGCAGAAGUUGUGAACUCAGAAAUCGAAGGAUAUAAGUGGCUACCCAAAAUUCUUUAUACAGUUUGUUGGGUAGCAGGUUACUGGCAAUAUUAGGUUGAGAAAUAGGAUACACCAUACCAAGUGAUCAAUGACUGUCCAUAUCGUGUCAUGGAACAUGAGGGGCCUUAAACUAGCCAAGUAAGAGGUGCAUAAUUACGAACUUAAUCCACUACUGGAGAGCCGAUGUUUAUUGCUUUCUCGAGACCAAAAUUGAAUGAGAUGUCAAGAACAUUGUCAAAUAUUGUUGGCCCAAAGAUGGAGAAAAUUCUGUCAACUUGAAGCCAGUGAAACUAGAGGAGGCAUAUUAAUUUUGUGGGAUGGGAAAACAUGGACAGGAGAAGUAAGCAGUGUUGGAGCUUAUUCUAUAUCUUCUAAGUUCACACGAAAGAAUCAAGACUUCACUUGGUUCCUCUCAGGCAUUUAUGCACCAAACAAUAGAGUCGAAAGAGAAGAUGUUUUAUGGGAAAUUAGAUCAGCUAGAGUACUUUUUACAGGCCCGUGAGUAGCAUGCGUUGAUUUCAAAACAGUUAGAUUCCCUUCUAAAGGGAAGAAUUGCUCUAGAAUCAUGAGAGCAAUGUGUUAGACCUGCUGUUACUAGGGUCUAUAACCGCAGGAAGAAGGGUGAAAAUAAGGCUUUAAUGUAUCUAUUUUGUUUAUUAAUUAUUCUGUGUAUGUAUUUCUAGUAGUUUCUGGAAGUGAACUAGCAGUUAACUAGCAGUUCAGGCAGUUGUUUUGUGAAAUAUUGUACUAGGAAGAAAGAAAGACUAUCAGAUUAUUUUGUAGGAUUUUCUGGCAGAUUAGGAGGCUAAGGUUCCUCGAAAUAUCUUGGUUGUUGAAAUAUCUUCUAUUUGCUAUUUGUAUAAUAUCUUCUAUUUGCUAUUUGUAUAACUCAUUCGAUUUGUUGGUGGCAGUAAAUAAUAGUUGAAGUGUGUUUCUACUUUUGCAUUGUUUCUGGGAGUUUUCAGAUUUAUUGUUAGGAGAUUUCAGGGUUCCUAAGAAUUUGUAAGGUUGAGAUGGUUUGGUCAUGUGAUGAGGAGGGGCACGGAUGCCCCAAUUCGUAUGUGUGAGAGGUUGGCCUUGGAAGGUUUCAAGCGGGGUAGGGGUAGACCGAAGAAAUACUGGAGAGAAGUGAUUAGACGUGACAUGGAGCAGUUACAGCUGACUGAGGACAUGACCCUAGAUAGAAAGAUAUGGAGGAAAAACAUUAGGAUAGAGCGCUAAGGGUGUGGUUGAGUUGUAGUCAGUAGGUAGGGAAAUUGUGGCGUCCUUUGUUUGGCAAUGUACUUUUUGUGGAUGCCGUAUCUAUGUUAUUUUAUCAUGUUUUAUGCUUUUGAUGUUUUUGUAUACUGCCUUUUAUACUGCCUUUUAUCUUGAGCCGGGGGUCUCUCGGAAACAGCCUCUUUACCUCGUUAGAGAUAAUGGUAUGGACUGUGUACACUCUACCCUCCCAAGACCCCACUAUGUGGGAAUAUACUGGGUUUGUUGUUGUUGUUGUUGUUGUAACAAUUUGUAAAACUCAUUCGAUUUGUUGGUGGCAGUAAAUAAUAGUUGAAGUGUGUUUCUACUUUUGCAUUGUUUCUGGGAGUUUACAGAUUUAUUGUUAGGAGAUUUCAGGUUCCUAACAAUUUUGGUAUCAGAGCCUUAUGGUUUCAAGCAGAAUGGAUGGAAGGAUUAGAGAAAACAAUGGGCGAAGUACAAGAGGAGCAGUUAUGAGACUGGAUGCAAAAAAAAAGAUGAACAUGGCGCUGAAAUUCUUCAACAUAUAAAAGGAAAAUCAAAGGUUCAGGCACGUCCAAUUAAAGACACAUAUAUAAUGGCAGAAAACAGCAACAAUCGCAGAACCGAUGGAUUCUGGGAAGUUUAGCCACAAUUUCGUGAAGGAACACGUCCUAGAAGAUCAAAACUGCUCUUGUUCUCCGAUGACAACCCAUAUGGAUGGUUUAACAGAGCAGAGCGUUAUUUUCAUUUCAAUGGCAGGAUAAAAUGGCGGCUGCUGCUGAUGGCUUUGAAGGGAGAGCCCUAAAUUGGUUCCAAUGGUUGGAGACAAGAACGUCAAUUGUCACAUGGGAUGUGUUUUGAGUAGCCAUACUUCAACGAUUCACUCCAUCAUAUAUAGGAAACCUAUAUGAGGUGUUGAUAAGACUGCAACAAAUUGGAAGUGGCCCAAUACGGAGAAGAUUUAGAAUUACUUUCAGCACCCUUAAAAGAUGUCGAUGAUACAGUUUUGAUGGGGAUUUUUAUAAAUGGAUUGAGAGGAGAGAUCAAGGGAGAAUUGCGUCUUAGCAAGUUAGGAACUCUAACCCAAAUUACGGACCAAAGCCAGCUUAUUGAAGAAAAGAAUUGGGCUCCGAGCCCAUUUGCCUAGACAUAUGCCUAUGAUGCUUCCUAAGGGUUCGACGCAUUUUCAAGUGACUGACAAUAGCCGAACGGGAAGUGUUACAAGUCCACAUGUGUGUAAUCAUAAUACCUUAUCAUUCUGCCCGUACAACAGUUACAAUAGCAGUACGACAUUUCAAAAGCAAUAGGCAGGAGAAAUCAUGCAGUCAGGACCUGAAAGGCGUGGAGGAUCAUACAAAAGGCUAUCUGAUGCAAAGUAUCAAGAUAAAUUAAGAAAAGGACUUAUUGUCAUAGCGAUGAAAAAUAUGGCCCUAAUCAUUGAUGCAAUUCAAAACAAUUAAAUUUGCUCAUUAUAGUAGCGGAGGAUAACGGAGAUGGAGAUAUAAAAGAGCAUUCAGAGGAAAUAAUAAAUGAAGGGAAGGAUCAAUUAAAUGUUCAAGAACAGGUAGUGUCUCAAAAGUUUGUCUUUGUCAUCUAUUGCAGGAUUUACCACAACGAAGUCUUUGAAGGUAUGGAGAACAAUAUUGGGGAAGAAGGUUAUUCUGCUGAUUGACAGUGGAGCAUCAACGAAUUUUAUCUCUUGCACAGUGGCUGAAGCAUUAGGGUUAAAGAAACCAGAAACUAGGUCAUUUGUGGUGGAAGUAGGAAACGGACAAUAGGUAAAGAGUAAGGGCAGCUGCAAAGAAGUGAAGUUGUGGAUUGAUAAACUAAGCAUAACACAAGAUUACUUCUUUUUUUAUUUGGAAGCGCUGAUGUAGUGUUGGAUUAGAGUGGCUAGAGACUUUGAGAUAUUCAAGCUAAUUUAAAAAAGUUGACGCUAAAAUUUCAAAUAGAAGGGCAAACAUGAGUUGUUCAAGGAGAUCCCUCAUAGUCCAGAUCGGUGGCGUCACUCAAAACUCUGCUUAAAGCCUUGCAAAAAGAUGGAGAAGGGUAUUGUGUUGACCUGAAUGAGUUAACAACAAAGGAAGACCAAGAGAAUUUGGAUUUGCAACAAUUACUAUAAGAAUUUGGAAUUUUAUUUGUGGAACUAGAAGGGUUGCUACCUAGUAGGAGUCAUGAUCAUGCUAUAUUACUUAUCGAGGGAUCUAAUCCACCCUAUAUUUUUCCAUAUUCUUCCCCUCAUUACCAGCAAAAUGAGAUUGAGCGAAUUGUCUAGGAAAUGCUUGUAACUUGUAUCUUUCAACCAAGCACAAGUCCUUUCUCCAGUCCAGUGUUGCUCGUUCGCAAAAAAGAUGGUUGCUGGCGAUUUUGUGUGGAUUAUCAAGCCCUUAAUAAGAUUACUAUUCUCAAUAAAUUUUCAAUUCCAACAAUCGACGAAUCGAUGAAUUACUGGAUGAACUUGGGGUGCCACUAUAUUUUCGAAAUUGGAUCUAAGAAUGGGAUACCAUCAAAUUCAGGUUUGCUAGAAGGACAUCACAAAGACAUCUUUUCGUACACAUGAAGGCCAUUAUGAAUUCUUGGUUAUGCCAUUUUGUUGUCUAACGCUCCAUCUACUUUUCAAGCCUUGAUGAAUGCAAUAUUUUGUCCUUACUUUAGUAAGUUUGUAUCGGGUAUUUUUGGAUAAAAUAUUAGUUUAUAGUGCAAAUUUUCCUAUUCACUUGGAACAUUUGCGGAAGUUGCUACAAAUUUUAAAACUCCAUAACUAGGAUGUCAGUCGAAAAAAAUGUCAAUUUGGACAACAACAACUGGAGUAUUUGGGACAUUAUUUCAGCAAGGGAGCUUCAGCAGAUCCAACCAAAAUAGCAAGCUGGUUACUCUAGGAAGUUUGUUCGUGGCUAUAGGAAAACAACCCGACCAGUCACAAUUGCUCAAGAAAGAUGCUUUUCAUUGGACUAAAGAAACUCAACUAGCUUUUGAUUCUCUUAAGGAGGUUAUAGUCACUUUGCUUGUUUUGGCACUACCAAGUUUUAACAAAGUGUUUGUGGUUGAGACAGAUGAUUCGAGAUUAGGGAUUGGAUCUGUCCUAAUGCAAGGAGGACAUCCCAUAGUUUUUCUUAGUCAAGGAAUUUCUAUUCGAGCUCAAUCUAAAUCAGUAUAUGAAAUGGAGUUGAUGGCCAUUGUUUUUGUUGUACAAAAGUGGCGUUAUUAACUGAUGGGUCGGCAUUUCAUUAUACGAACAUAUCAACAAAGUCUCCAAUUUCUCAACAUGCUACGGCGAAGGAGCAACAAAAAUCGGUUACCAAGUUGAUGGGAUUUGAUUGAGAUUCGAUAUCCCCCAGGAGGUGAAAAUAAGGCAGCUGAUGCAUUGUCCUGCCAAUUUCAUUUCAUGGCUUUUUCUAUUCUACAUAGGCAGUACCUUAGAUGAUCUUUCCACAAAAAUUCAACAGGAUGAUCAACUCCGUUAAUUAACACAAUAUUUGCUUCAAUGUCCGUCUUCAUGGACGAAUUAUGUUUCUAAGAAAUGGCUGCUUGUUUUUCAAAAGUCGGCUGGUGAUUCUUCGUUCAUCAUUACACAUUCCAUGCUCUUUAGGGAAUUUCACUCCUCGCCUACUGGUGGACGCUCAAGUUUUUUCUGCACAUACAAAUGCAUUUCACAAGUUUUUUAUUGGAAUGGAAUCAAAAGAGAUGUACAAAACUUAGUGGCUAGUUGUGAAGUUUGCAAGAGGAACCAGUCUAAAGCCCUUAGUCCCGCUGGCUUGCUGCAGCCAUUACCUAUUCCUACUCAAGUUUGAAAUGAUAUUGCUAUGGAUUUCAUCAAUGGGUUGCCAAAAGCAAUUAGACAUGAUACUAUUCUUGUUGUGGUGAACUGCUUCACUAAAUAUAGUCAUUUUCUCCUCUUAUCUCAUCCAUAUACAACAAAGAGUGUUGCUGAGCUAUUUGUUCAUGAGGUUGUACGUUUGCAUGGUUUUUCCAGAACAAGAACAAUUGUGUCUGAUCAAGAUCGGGUUUUUGUCAACCAAUUUUGGCAAGAAUUAUUCAAGUUGUCUGGUACUAGCCUCAAAUUGAGCUCCAAUUAUCACUUUUAAAUAGAUGGUCAAACUGAAGUUUUCAACUUCUCAUUGGAGAUUGGAUACUUAUUUAUGUUGUUUUGCAGGCGCACACGAACAAUGGACAAGAUGGAUUCCUUGGGCUGAAUUUUGGUUCAAUGCCACAUACCAUGGUUCCACCAAGAUGACCCCUUUUAGAUCUUUAUAUGGGCGAGAUCCUCCCUCUUUGUUGCGGUUCACUGAUGAAAUUUCUACUGUUGAAAAGGUCAACCAGCAGCUUAUGGAUCGCAACACUGUUUUAGAUGAACUUAAAGCUAAUCUAACACAUGCUCAAGCUCAAAUGAAAGUUUAUGCUGAUGCUAAGUGCCGCAUUUGUGUUUUAGCUUGGUGAUUUGGUUUAUCUUCGCAUGCAACCUUUCAAGCUCCGCUCACUUGCUAAAAAGGCUAAUCAGUUAAGUCCUCAUCACUAUAGGCCAUACACUAUCUUGAAUAAAAUUGGAGAAGUUGCUUAUCACCUUGAUUUACCCUCUCAUUCAUGUGUGCAUCCCGUAUUUCAUGUCUCUUGGUGAAAGCGUGCAAUAAAGGAUUCUACUCCAGUUCAGCAACUCCCUCCUUUCUUAUUUGAAGAACUUGAAAUGCAAGUGCAACCUGAAGGUGUAGUAGACUAUUUGAUUAGGUGGAAGGACUUUCUAGACUAGAACACUGGAAUCCUGUGAAGUCAUUCAUGCUCAGUUUCCUCAUUUUCACCUUGAGGACAAGGUGAAACUCGUUGGGUCGGGUAUUGUUAGACCUGUUGGCUCUAGGGUCUAUUAACUCAGGAAACAACAACAACAACAACAAACCCAGUGUAUUCCCACUUAGUGGGGUCUGGGGGGGGGUAAGAUGUACGCAGUCCAUACCUCUACCUCUGAUGAAGUAGAAAGGCUGUUUCCGAAAGACCCCCGGCUCAAGGCACAAGAUAUCACACAAACACAUAGUACAGCACAGAAGCAGAUGACAUAACAUAACUACGGCACCCAUAAGGAAUAUAAAACAGAGGAUAGCAGAGGAAAGCACACAGAUUCGUAAUAAGCAUGGAACACUGAAUACGGAAUCAUAACGGGAAUAAAAAAUAAAAAAUAAAAAAACCCCCACCAAGUAAUUCCCUACACUAGCGACCCAAUCUGGCCCUACUCUUCUGCCGUAAUUCGCGUCUUCCAGACCUUCCUAUCUAGGGUCAUGUCCUCGGUGAGCUGUAACUGUUCCAUGUCCCGCCUAAUCACCUCACCCCAGUACUUCUUCGGUCUACCCCUUCCCCGUCUAAAACCAUCCAACGCUAGCCUCUCACACCUACGGACCGGGGCAUCCAUGCCCCUCCUCUUCACGUGUCCGAACCAUCUCAAUCGUGCUUCCCGCAUCUUACACUCCACUGAAGUCACACCAACCUUCUCCCGGAUAGUCUCAUUCCGAACUCUAUCCCCUCGGGUCAGUCCACACAUCCAGCGCAACAUCCGCAUUUCUGCCACCUUCAUUUUUUGGAUGUGGGAGUUCUUAACUGGCCAAUUAUAACUUAUAUAAUAUACUAAUUAAUAUCGUAAUCUUGAAGAAGAAUAAUUUUUUAUAGUUUUAGUAUUGCCUGCUUUAUGAAUUGUUGAGUCAUUCAAGUUCUACAUUUUUAGUAUCUGCUAUCUAUUUUUAGUUUUUAACUUGAAAUAUUUGCUUGCUAUUGAAAUUUUGAUUAUUUAUAUAUGCAAAUAAACAUUUCAAUUUUUUGGUAUUAAUUGUCCCCACACUUUCAAAAGGCGCUGGCCUCGCCACGUGGUAAGGCAGAGCCUCGGCGCCAUUUGUCAUCUUUCGUAGUCCAAAACAUUGCGGCCAAGUCAUGUACAUCUAUUGUGGGUCUAUCUAUGUUGCUCUUUUAUCAAGGACACUUACCUACCCUUGUCAAAGCCUUAUAAUUAUUACAGUUACAUGCACAGUAAUCACAAGGCAUAAAUUGGUUAUCUCGAGCCUUUAGGGCUUCAGGUGUUUGUCCGUCUCAAUGGGAUAUGAGGCGUGACAGGAAGAUACAGGAACUAGAAGAAAUUAAAGAAGCCAUGAUAGACUUCUACGUCAAGCUAUACUCAGAAACUGAAUCCUAGAGACCUCUUUUCAAGUUUCUAGGAUGCCCUACAGUUUCUACAGAAGAGAAUAAAUGGCAAUAGAGAGCAUUCAGUGAAGAGGAAGUGUUACUGAUCAUCAAACAAUGUGAUGGGGACCAAAGCACCUGGACCUGAUCGAUUCACUAUGGACUUCUUCAAGAAAUGUUGGGGCAUACCAAAGGAGGACCUCAUGCAAAUUGUUCAGAAUUUCCAUCAACGGAGCGUAUUUGAGAAAUCUUUCAAUGCAACAUUAUAGCCUUGAUACCAAAGAAACCUGAUGCAGUGGAGCAAAAGGAUUUCAGGCCUAUUAGUCUAAUAGGAGGAGUUUAUAAAAUCAUUUCAAAGUGGUUGACUGAGAAAAUGAAGACAAUGAUAGAAAACUGGUUGAUGAACAUCAAAUGGCUUUCUUGAGAGGGAGACAACUAAUGGAUGCAUCAUUGUUGGCUAAUGAAUUGGCAGAGUCCAGGAUGAGGAGAAGAAGCCAGGUAUUUUAUGUAAACUUGACAUUGAGAAUGUCUAUGAUCAUGUCAAUUGAAAUUUCCUCCUAAAAAUUCUAAAAGAUAUGGGAUUUGGAAGCAAGUGGAUUAGCUGAAUCAAGUAUUGCAUAUCACGUGUGAAGC